rnacentral:rRNA from 1 species
GAUGAACGCUGGCGGCGUGCUUAACACAUGCAAGUCGAACGGAAAGGCUCCUGCUUGCAGGGGUACUCGAGUGGCGAACGGGUGAGUAACACGUGGGUGAUCUGCCCUGCACUUCGGGAUAAGCCUGGGAAACUGGGUCUAAUACCGGAUAGGACGAUGGUUUGGAUGCCAUUGUGGAAAGUUUUUCGGUGUGGGAUGAGCUCGCGGCCUAUCAGCUUGUUGGUGGGGUAAUGGCCUACCAAGGCGUCGACGGGUAGCCGGCCUGAGAGGGUGUACGGCCACAUUGGGACUGAGAUACGGCCCAGACUCCUACGGGAGGCAGCAGUGGGGAAUAUUGCACAAUGGGCGCAAGCCUUAUGCAGCGACGCCGCGUGGGGGAUGACGGCCUUCGGGUUGUAAACUCCUUUCGCUAGGGACGAAGCGCAAGUGACGGUACCUGGAGAAGAAGCACCGGCUAACUACGUG